rfam:Acyrthosiphon pisum strain LSR1 Contig3512, whole genome shotgun sequence.
CGACCUCAGAUCAGGCGGGACUACCCGCCGGAUUUAAGCAUAUUAAUAAGCGGAGGAAAAGAAAACAACCGUGAUUCCCUUAGUAGCGGCGAGCGAACCGGGAAAAGCCCAUCGCCGAAUCUCGCCGCGCACUUUUGUGUCGCGGCACGUAUGAGAGUUGUGGCGUACGGGCCGGCCUCGUUGCCGGGGCGCACGUGACGGUCCAAGUCUCCCUUGAACGGGGCCAUGGCCCGCAGAUGGUGCCAGGCCAGUAGAGGCCGUCACAGCGUUUCCGGGAUCGGACCGCGCCUUCGAGUCGGGUUGCUUGAGAGUGCAGCCCGAAGCGGGUGGUAAACUCCAUCUAAGGCUAAAUACGGCCACGAGACCGAUAGUUUACAAGUACCGUGAGGGAAAGUUGAAAAGAACUUUGAAGAGAGAGUUCAUAAGAACGUGAAACCGCUCGGUUGUAAACGGACAGAGCUCGCGAAUCCCCGCCGGGCGAAUUCACGGUCGGUCUAACCGCCGGCCGGAUCUUUCGCUCGGUUAGCGGACGUCGCGACCCGUUGGGCGCCGGCCGAAUGGCCCGGGUGACGUUCGUCGCGUCGGUCGCGUUUCGGCGUGACCGUUCGCGCCGAGCCCCGGUGCUCAUGGUCGGCUCGCCCGACGGCAAGAACCGUCGACGCGGCCCCGUCGCAGGCGGGGUCCCGUCGGUCGGCGACGUGUUUCGAGCUACUUUCCGACCCGUCUUGAAACACGGACCAAGGAGUCUAACGUGUGCGCGAGUCAACGGUGAUCUUACGAAAAACCACGUUUGGCGCAAUGAAAGUGAACCGUUUACGGUGCGGACGAUGGCCUAGCGACCGAACCCACCGGCGUUCAAAGUCGCGCUGGUCCGCAGUCCGGGGGCGUCUCCGCCAAGUCGGCUUCGGCCGGCUGGGGGCGCACCCUUAGCGCACACGUUGGUACCCGAAAGAUGGUGAACUAUGCCUGGCCAGGAUGAAGUCAGGGGAAACCCUGAUGGAGGUCCGCAGCGAUUCUGACGUGCAAAUCGAUCGUCUGAGCUGGGUAUAGGGGCGAAAGACUAAUCGAACCAUCUAGUAGCUGGUUCCAUCCGAAGUUUCCCUCAGGAUAGCUGGCGCCGAUGUGUCCCGCCCGUUCGCGGGCGUACGGACGCCGGUGGGACUCCGCGCUGUACGGCGCGGUAACAACACGCUCGUAACACGGAGGAUGUCUCAUACGGUAAAGCGAAUGAUUAGAGGACAUUGGGGCCGAAACGACCUCAACCUAUUCUCAAACUAUAAAUGAGUGAGAUCGCCGGCUUUACCUGGUACACCGCGUGAACCGCGUGCGAAGCCGGCGACGGAACCCUAGGCGCUUAGUGGGCCAUUUUUGGUAAGCAGAACUGGCGCUGCGGGAUGAACCGAACGCCGAGUUAAGGCGCCGAAAUCGACGCGUAUACAGAGACCAUGAAAGGCGUUGGUUGCUGAUGACAGCAGGACGGUGGCCAUGGAAGUCGGAAUCCGCUAAGGAGUGUGUAACAACUCACCUGCCGAAGCAACUAGCUCUGAAAAUGGAUGGCGCUGGAGCGUCGUGCCUAUACUCGGGCCGUCGACGGCAUAGUGGGGCCAGUCGUCGCUCGCGGCGGGCCGGUCCCGGCAAGCCUCGACGAGUAGGAUGGCGCGGCGGUGUGCGUCGAAAGGGCAGGUCGCGAGACCGCCUGCAGCCGCCGUCGGUGCAGAUCUUGGUGGUAGUAGCAAAUACUCGAGAGGGGCCCUCGGGGGCUGCCG